rnacentral:tRNA from 2 species
ACCUUCUUAGCUUAGUGGUAAAGCACUCGGUUUUUACCCGAAUGACAAUAGUUCGAUUCUAUUAGGGGGUA